CAGUGGAUGGACUAGAAUGUGAAGGGAGAUUCACUCAGACCUCUAAGCCACCAUGACUCACAGGAACCCAACAAAGUGCAAUUGACAGAGUAAUAAUGGGAGGCACUAAGGUCGGGUACACAAGAAACCAGCCAGAGGAGACAACAAGAAGCCAAAUCAACUCUGGGCCAGGUGGAU
rnacentral:lncRNA from 1 species